GGGGAAUUUUCCGCAAUGGGCGAAAGCCUGACGGAGCAACGCCGCGUGAGGGACGAAGGCCUCUGGGCUGUAAACCUCUUUUCUCAAGGAAGAAGAUAUGACGGUACUUGAGGAGUAAGCCACGGCUAAUUCCGUGCCAGCAGCCGCGGUAAUACGGGAGUGGCAAGCGUUAUCCGGAAUUAUUGGGCGUAAAGCGUCCGCAGGCGGCUUUUCAAGUCUGCUGUUAAAGCGUGGAGCUUAACUCCAUCAUGGCAGUGGAAACUGAAAGGCUUGAGUAUGGUAGGGGCAGAGGGAAUUCCCGGUGUAGCGGUGAAAUGCGUAGAUAUCGGGGAAGAACACCAGUGGCGAAGGCGCUCUGCUGGGCCAUUACUGACGCUCAUGGACGAAAGCCAGGGGAAGCGAAAGGGGAUUAGAUACCCCUGUAAGUC
rnacentral:rRNA from 1 species